rnacentral:rRNA from 1 species
UACAGGGGGGGCAAGCGUUGUUCGGAAUUACUGGGCGUAAAGGGUCUGUAGGUGGCCAACUAAGUCAGACGUGAAAUCCCUCAGCUUAACUGGGGAACUGCGUCUGAUACUGGAUGGCUUGAGUCCGGGAGAGGGAUGCGGAAUUCCAGGUGUAGCGGUGAAAUGCGUAGAUAUCUGGAGGAACAUCGGUGGCGAAGGCGGCAUCCUGGACCGGUAUUGACGCUGAGGCGCGAAAGCCAGGGGAGCAAACAGG